AUUGAACGCUGGCGGCAUGCCUUACACAUGCAAGUCGAACGGCAGCACGGGAGCAAUCCUGGUGGCGAGUGGCGAACGGGUGAGUAAUAUAUCGGAACGUGCCCGGUCGUGGGGAUAACGUAGCGAAAGCUACGCUAAUACCGCAUACGAUCUACGGAUGAAAGCGGGGGAUCGCAAGACCUCGCGCGAUUGGAGCGGCCGAUAUCAGAUUAGGUAGUUGGUGAGGUAAAGGCUCACCAAGCCGACGAUCUGUAGCUGGUCUGAGAGGACGACCAGCCACACUGGGACUGAGACACGGCCCAGACUCCUACGGGAGGCAGCAGUGGGGAAUUUUGGACAAUGGGCGCAAGCCUGAUCCAGCAAUGCCGCGUGCAGGAUGAAGGCCUCGGUUGUAACUGCUUUGUACGGUAACGAAACGGUA
rnacentral:rRNA from 1 species